GGACUGGUGCUUUCUUUAACCAAGCCACUUUUAAUAUUUGCUGAAUAACAAAUUCUUUAAAAACAGACUUUUCCCCCAAUACUUUAAGGAAAAAAGAAAUGCGUAAUAGGGCUCUUUUAAAUAAAAACUUGGAUACACCAGCCUGAAUUUUUGUAACAACAUAUUGAAUUGCAUCCUGUAUAGUGGGGUCAGUAGCAUUCCUAUUUACAUUAACC